CCUACGGGUGGCUGCAGUGAGGAAUAUUGGUCAAUGGGCGAGAGCCUGAACCAGCCACGUCGCGUGAAGGAAGAAGGUACUUAGUAUUGUAAACUUCUUUUGUCGGGGAACAAAGGCGGAGACGCGUCUCCGGAUGAGUGUACCCGAAGAAAAAGCAUCGGCUAACUCCGUGCCAGCAGCCGCGGUCAUACGGAGGAUGCGAGCGUUAUCCGGAUUUAGUGGGUUAAAAGGGUGCGCAGGGGGGAGAUCAAGUCAGCGGUAAAAUGUCGGGGCUAAACCACGGUCGGCCGUUGAAACUGGGUUUCUAGAGUAGAAGAGAGGUAUGCGGAAUUCGUGGUGUAGCGGUGAAAUGCAUAGAUAUCACGAAGAACACCGAUUGCGAAGGCAGCAUACCGG
rnacentral:rRNA from 1 species